rnacentral:rRNA from 1 species
CCUACGGGCGGCAGCAGUGAGGAAUAUUGGUCAAUGGACGGAAGUCUGAACCAGCCAAGUAGCGUGAAGGAUGACUGCCCUAUGGGUUGUAAACUUCUUUUAUAUAGGAAUAAAAUGUUCCACGUGUGGGAUUUUGUAUGUACCUUAUGAAUAAGGAUCGGCUAACUCCGUGCCAGCAGCCGCGGUAAUACGGAGGAUCCGAGCGUUAUCCGGAUUUAUUGGGUUUAAAGGGAGCGUAGGUGGAUUGUUAAGUCAGUUGUGAAAGUUUGCGGCUCAACCGUAAAAUUGCAGUUGAAACUGGCAGUCUUGAGUACAGUAGAGGUGGGCGGAAUUCGUGGUGUAGCGGUGAAAUGCUUAGAUAUCACGAAGAACUCCGAUUGCGAAGGCAGUUCACUGAACUGCAACUGACACUGAGGCUCGAAAGUGUGGGUAUCAAACAGGAUUAGAUACUCGGGUAGUC